UCCGGAUUUACUGGGUGUAAAGGGAGCGUAGACGGUGAUGCAAGUCUGAAGUGAAAGGCGGGGGCUCAACCCCCGGACUGCUUUGGAAACUGUAUGACUGGAGUGCAGGAGAGGUAAGUGGAAUUCCUAGUGUAGCGGUGAAAUGCGUAGAUAUUAGGAGGAACACCAGUGGCGAAGGCGGCUUACUGGACUGUAACUGACGUUGAGGCUCGAAAGCGUGGGGAGCAAACAGGA
rnacentral:rRNA from 1 species